rnacentral:lncRNA from 1 species
UUUCUUUUACAUUCAAGCACUUGAGGACAUUCCAUUCAGGUCAUGGGUCGACUGCAGAGAAGGUGGAACAUGUGACAAGGAAUGUAAUCCUUGAAAAAUAAUAGUUUGGAAAAAUCACUAAACAAAUGGAUGACUGCGGCUCCAACAAGUAACAACAACAAUACCGAGGAGAAAAGAGAAUUUUAUUUAUAGAGAUAUCACAUUACAACAUUACAAAUGUAUAGAUCUCAACAAAUACUAUAAAGAAUACAGAGAAAUUCAAAAAUAUGUAUCAUUCACAUGACAUUCACCUGAAAAAAGAAAUCAACAGAAAUGAUCUCUGAUCAAGUACAGAAAUUGGACUUACUAGAAAAGAAUUUAACUGCUUUCAAUGUGCUGAAAACACUAAAGAAUAAAAAAAGAAAAUUAAGAGACUGAUGUCUAGGAACACAUAAAUAUUAUCAAUCAGAUUAUAAAUCAUAAGAACCAAAUAGAAAUUCUGCUGCUGAAAAUGUAAAUAUUAAAAUAAAAAUUCACUGGAGAGAUACAACAGUAGAUUUGUGCAGUCGGAAUAAAUAAUUAGGGUACUUGAAGAGAGAUCUAUUAAAAUUCUCAGUGUCUAGGACAACAAUAUCACUAGGACCCGCUUUACCAAAUGUCUCAAUCCAUUUAGAAGUUAUAAAUGGAGUUUUUAAAAACUGUGAAAUAAACACAAUAUAUUAUGUCUUUUUAUCUUGGCUUAAAUGCUCUUAUAACAACAACAUCUAUUUUGUUGCUUUAUUCUUCUGUCCUAAACUGUUUUUGUGUUUUGUUCUUUCUGUAAUGACCUUGAUUUUUUACUCAUUCUCAAUUAUCAAAAUAAUUGUUGCAACUAAACAUUUAAUUGUAUUUAAAAUGUGAUUAUAUGUUUCUUGAAAAACAAAUUGAACACAAUGGGAUGUGCUGGAAAAAUAAAAUUAUUCAUAUAUAUUUCAAGAACUAUUUUAUUCUAAUUUAAAAUGUUCAUUGCUUACUGAACUUACAUAUUAUUAUUAAAG